CCCCGUCCAUUCCCGGCCCCCCCUCCUAGGGGAGGCCCCAGUGGGAAUUUUCCCCAGGGGGAAACCCUGAUCAACCAUGCCGCGUUGUGAAGAAGCCCUUCGGGUUUUAAGCACUUUCAGUAGGGAGGAAGGGUGAGGCUUAAUACACCUCAGCUGUGACGUUACAUACAGAAGAAGGACCGGCUAACUCCGUGCCAGCAGCCGCGGUAAUACGGAGGGUCCGAGCGUUAAUCGGAAUUACUGGGCGUAAAGCGUGCGCAGGCGGUUUGUUAAGCGAGAUGUGAAAACCCCGGGCUCAACCUGGGAAUUGCAUUUCGAACUGGCAAACUAGAGUCUUGUAGAGGGGGGUAGAAUUCCAGGUGUAGCGGUGAAAUGCGUAGAGAUCUGGAGGAAUACCGGUGGCGAAGGCGGCCCCCCCGACAAAAACUGACGCUCAGGCGAGAAAGGCGGUGGGGAGCAAAACAGGAUUAGAUAACCCUGGUAGUCCAACGCCGUAAACGAUGUCUANCUGCGGAGUUUGGUUUCUUGAAGCACCUGGGCUCUCAGAGCUAACAGCAGUUAAGUAGACCCGCACUGGGGAGUAUCAGGCCGGGCUAAGGU
rnacentral:rRNA from 1 species